AAAUAAUUCAACUAAAAUAAAAACUAUUAGCUUCCAACUGUUCUGCCUUUUGAUUUUUAUACAUGAAAAACCAAACUUUUCUUCCAGAAGCAAAUGCUACCUCUUGCAAAUGUGACAAGGCAACUAACUGGCAAGACAUUUAACAUUCAAAUGAAGAGAUCGUUCACAAAAAAUAUGGAUGCAGCACCCGCAAAAUUUAUCAUUCUGUCCUUUAUGCAAAAAGAGAACGCGAUUGACACACAAUUGCCACCGAUCCUAAUGGACAUUCCAGUAAGCAGCAAGAGGAAAAUUGAUGAUAACCAGAAGGAAAUGAAAAUUGCUACUCCGAGAAGCUAUCGAAAGUGACAAUCUUUCGCUUCUUACUUUUGGCAUGCAAUUGGAGCCACUUUUUGCUAUCUCCUUAAAGACAUGGUUGAAACUACUUUUGCUUGCCGACUUCCUAGAUGCGAUACUGAUGAUGUUUUUGGAAAAAACAGAAACUACUUUUGUUGCUGCCUUAUCCUGUGACAUUCUCAUAUCAGGUUAGCCCUUUUCUUCUUUCACUUCAUGUAACUUUCCUUAAUCACAAUUUUCCUUUGAACGCUACAUUUGUUUUCUUAUGGAGCACUAACUUGGGUGAAGACAAUUACCAGACUUGGAGAAUAUUAUGUUAGGUGUUUGAAGGCAGAUUUAGAAUUGAACGAACAGGAGAAAGUAGCAUAGUUCUUGCGAAAGAAAUUAAGAUGUGUACCAAAUUUCUUUACAUUGGAUUUAAUAAAAAAGUAUUACCACGCAUUUUGCUAGCAUUUCUUAUGGCCUUCAUUUCAUUAUAUGUUAGGUUUGGAUUAACUAUGUUUGGACUCAAGAUUAUAAACUCAUUGUUUUUCCUCUUGUCGUCCUUUCCCAUCAUGUCGUGUUAACACUGUAGUGGAUCCUUAAUUAAUGCUUAGCGUCCUCUGUCUCUACCAUGCCCUUUAUCUGGACUGCACAAGUAAAAAAGAUUCCCUACAUUCAAUUAAUUUCUUAGAUAUAGCAUGAUCAUAAUGCAAAGACAUGCCCUUGUGCAGUUGUUGCCAGCAAAAAAACAUUUUGGUGCUUUUCAGAAAUCUCCCAGGUAAGUAUUACCUGUCUCAACAUUAUCACAUUCAAGACACUUUUUUCAAUCUUAUAUUUUUUACACGCUAAUUAUUCACCUUGUCUAUGUUAUGCAACAUCUACCAACAUUCUCACCAAAGAUUACAGGAGAAGUGUCGGCACCGCAGCUAACCUUUUGUUAAUAUGUAAAUAGAAUGUAGAAUCUCUAUUCAACCUGUAAAACUUGGCUCCGUAUCAAAAUGUAUGUAAAAACUUUAUGUUCUUGGUCUAUGUUCAGCUUAUGUAAAAACUGUUACCUG